GAGGGUAUAGCUCAGUGGUUAAGAGUGCAUGCUUAGCAUGAACGAGGUCCUGGGUUCAAUCCCCAGUACCUCCA
rfam:Camelus ferus unplaced genomic scaffold scaffold606, whole genome shotgun sequence.